UCGGACGUGGUGCAUGGUGCACGCCCCCACAUACUCGGUGCGAAACUUGUCUACAAUUUGCGGCGGGAAACCCGGGUUCGACUCCCGGCGUCCAAA